CUGGCUUACUGUGUGCCAUCAUUAACUAAUACACAAGCUCAUCAAUUAUUUGACACUGUUGAAAUUAUUAUUAAUAAUAAUAAGGGGCUAAAACGUCAGUGCCUUUCUGGUUCUGGAAGUCCAAUGGACAAUUGAGUCUCCACCUCUGAAUUCUUGCCACUUAAGCUUAAGUAUCUGUCAACUUCUUUCUGUUGAGUUGGAUGCGGCCAUGGCUUCUCACUACACUUUUCACGAUAACUUGCAUUCUCAUCCAGCAAGAGCCUUUCCUUCGCUUUUAGUUUCUCUAUCUGCUCCUUGAACAACUCAUCCUUUCUUGCCCUGAUCUUGCUAAUGCUUUUCUCCAGCUGGCUGUGCAUCUCUUGGAGUUCUUCCAGAGAAGAAGAAGCUAAAUCUUGUCCCAAAAUCUUCCGCUGUGAAAUUUCAAGCUGCUCAAUCUUCUUCACCUUCUCAGUGGAUUCACUAACUAGAUGCUGAAUGUAUUGUUCUGUAUCAACGCGGUCAUCUUGCACUUCUUUUGCAUGUUUACCAUACCGUUCUAUGGUCUUUUGCAUGUCGUUGCUUGAGAACUCACAGAGCCUCCCUUUCUGUGAAAAGAUUAGUACUG
rnacentral:misc_RNA from 1 species